rnacentral:rRNA from 1 species
GGAACUGGAGCGGCGUCCUACACAUGUAGGUCGAGCGGUAACAGGCGUAGCAAUACGUGCUGACGAGCGGCGAACGGGUGAGAAACGCUUCGGAAUCUGCCCAAUGGUGGGGAAUAACCAGCCGAAAGGUUGGCUAAUACCGCAUGAGCCCUACGGGGGAAAGCGGGGGAUCGUAAGACCUCGCGCCGAUGGAUGAGCCGAAGCCGGAUUAGCUAGUUGGUAGGGUAACGGCCUACCAAGGCGACGAUCCGUAGCUGGUCUGAGAGGACGACCAGCCACACUGGGACUGAGACACGGCCCAGACUCCUACGCGAGGCAGCAGUGGGGAAUAUUGGACAAUGGGGGAAACCCUGAUCCAGCGACGCCGCGUGUGUGAAGAAGGCCUGCGGGUUGUAAAGCACUUUUAGUGGGGAUGAAAAGCUCAGAGCUAACACCUCUGGGUCUUGACCUAACCCACAGAAAAAGCACCGGCUAACUCUGUGCCAGCAGCCGCGGUAAUACAGAGGGUGCGAGCGUUAAUCGGAAUUACUGGGCGUAAAGCGUACGUAGACGGUUGGAUAAGUCAGAUGUGAAAGCCCCGGGCUCAACCUGGGAAUGGCAUUUGAGACUGUUCAGCUAGGGUGCGGAAGAGGGAAGCGGAAUUUCCGGUGUAGCGGUGAAAUGCGUAGAUAUCGGAAGGAACACCAGUGGCGAAAGCGGCUUCCUGGUCCAGCACCGACGUUCAGGUACGAAAGCAUGGGGAGCAAACAGGAUUAGAUACCCUGGUAGUCCAUGCCAUAAACGAUGAGGACUAGACGUUGAGAGGGUAAGCCUCGCAGUGUCGUAGCUAACGCGCUAAGUCCUCGCUGGGGAGUACGGGCCGCAAGGUGAAACUCAAGGAAUCGACGGGGACCCGCACAAGCGGUGAGCAUGUGUUUAAUCGAUGCACGCGAGAUCUUACCUGGUCUUGAACAUUCCUUGGGGAAACCCGCCU